rnacentral:rRNA from 1 species
UGGGGAAUAUUGCACAAUGGGCGCAAGCCUGAUGCAGCCAUGCCGCGUGUGUGAAGAAGGCCUUCGGGUUGUAAAGCACUUUCAGCGAGGAGGAAGGUGGUGAGCUUAAUACGCUCAUCAAUUGACGUUACUCGCAGAAGAAGCACCGGCUAACUCCGUGCCAGCAGCCGCGGUAAUACGGAGGGUGCAAGCGUUAAUCGGAAUUACUGGGCGUAAAGCGCACGCAGGCGGUUUGCUAAGUCAGAUGUGAAAUCCCCGGGCUCAACCUGGGAACUGCAUUUGAAACUGGCAAGCUAGAGUCUCGUAGAGGGGGGUAGAAUUCCAGGUGUAGCGGUGAAAUGCGUAGAGAUCUGGAGGAAUACCGGUGGCGAAGGCGGCCCCCCUGGACGAAGACUGACGCUCAGGUGCGAAAGCGUGGGGCAGCAAACAGGAUUAGAUACCCUGGUAGUCCACGCUGUAAACGAUGUCGAUUUGGAGGUUGUG